rnacentral:rRNA from 1 species
UUGAACGCUGGCGGCAUGCCUUACACAUGCAAGUCGAACGGUAACGGGCCUUCGGGUGCCGACGAGUGGCGAACGGGUGAGUAAUACAUCGGAACGUGCCCGAUCGUGGGGGAUAACGAGGCGAAAGCUUUGCUAAUACCGCAUACGAUCUACGGAUGAAAGCGGGGGACCGCAAGGCCUUGCGCGGACGGAGCGGCCGAUGGCAGAUUAGGUAGUUGGUGGGAUAAAAGCUUACCAAGCCGACGAUCUGUAGCUGGUCUGAGAGGAUGAUCAGCCACACUGGGACUGAGACACGGCCCAGACUCCUACGGGAGGCAGCAGUGGGGAAUUUUGGACAAUGGGCGCAAGCCUGAUCCAGCCAUGCCGCGUGCAGGAUGAAGGCCUUCGGGUUGUAAACUGCUUUUGUACGGAACGAAAAGCCUUCUUUUAAUACAGGAGGGUCAUGACGGUACCGUAAGAAUAAGCACCGGCUAACUACGUG